GACGAACGCUGGCGGCGUGCUUAACACAUGCAAGUCGAACGGAAAGGCCCUGCUUUUGUGGGGUGCUCGAUGGGCGAACGGGUGCGUAACACGUGAGUAACCUGCCCUUGACUUUGGGAUAACUUCAGGAAACUGGGGCUACUAUCGGAUAGGAUCUCCUGCUGCAUGGUGGGGGGUGGAAAUUUUAGGCUGUUGGGGAUGGACUCGCGGGUUAUGCGCUUGUUGGUUGGGUAGUGGCUUCCCAAGGCAUUGGCGGGUAGCCGGCCUGAGAGGGUGACCGGCGACAAUGCGCCUGCGAGACGGAGCAGACUGCAACGGGAGGCAGUAGUGGGGAACAUGGCCCAAGGGGCGGACGCCUGUGGAAGAGGCGCCGGGUGCGGAAUGACGGCCUUCGGGUUGUAAACAGCUGUCGCCUGAGACGAAGCGGGAGUGACGGUAAUGGGUAAAGAAGCACCGGCUAACUACGUG
rnacentral:rRNA from 1 species